CUAACACCAUCCAAAAAAAGACUUGCAUGCCCUUAUCUCUUCACAUCCCAAGCUUAAAUUUCAUCCACAAAAGAGCCCCUACAGUGCAGCAUUUCAGCACCAAAUUGACAUGAAAACAGCAGACUCAAAACCAUCUCACUUUGCACCAUUUAACAACAAUAUAGCAACAGAGGAACCGGUCGAGCUGAUCUGGGAAAUGCCAACAAGAGAGCGGCUCUGCAGGUUAUGUUCCUGCAGCGGGCACCAAUGGAGGCAGUGGGAGUCCCCGGGCAGGCAAGCAGCAGGGAGGCGGGAUGAGGCAGAGCAGGGCCGAUUCGUGCCGGAGCUGAGGCGUUGGGUGGCCCAGCCAUGCGCCCGCGGGUGGGAUCGACAAGCGCCGGGCUUCCCAGCCACGCGCCUGCGGGCAGGAUCGACGGGACGCCGGGCUUCCAAGCCACGCGCCCAGGGAGGAGGUCGGCGAGCGGAGAGGCUGCGGGGUGAGUGUCGGAGAGGGUUAGGGUCAGGGGGGUGCAGGGAGGCGCCGGCGUGGGGUGCACGGAGACGCCGCCAUGGCUUUCUGUUG
rnacentral:rRNA from 1 species